AUACGGAGGGGGCUAGCGUUGUUCGGAAUUACUGGGCGUAAAGCGUACGUAGGCGGACUGAUCAGUUGGGGGUGAAAUCCCAGGGCUUAACCCUGGAACUGCCUUCAAUACUGUCAGUCUUGAGUUUGGGAGAGGUGAGUGGAAUUCCUAGUGUAGAGGUGAGAUUCAUAGAUAUUAGGAGGAACACCAGUGGCGAAGGCGGCUCACUGGCCCAUUACUGACGCUGAGGUACGAAAGCGUGGGGAGCAAACAGGAUUAGAAACCCCAGUAGUCC
rnacentral:rRNA from 1 species